rnacentral:rRNA from 1 species
GACGAACGCUGGCGGCGUGCUUAACACAUGCAAGUCGAACGAAGAGCGACGGAAGCUUGCUUCUAUCAAUCUUAGUGGCGAACGGGUGAGUAACGCGUAAUCAACCUGCCCUUCAGAGGGGGACAACAGUUGGAAACGACUGCUAAUACCGCAUACGAUCUAAUCUCGGCAUCGAGGAUGGAUGAAAGGUGGCCUCUACAUGUAAGCUAUCACUGAAGGAGGGGAUUGCGUCUGAUUAGCUAGUUGGAGGGGUAACGGCCCACCAAGGCGAUGAUCAGUAGCCGGUCUGAGAGGAUGAACGGCCACAUUGGGACUGAGACACGGCCCAGACUCCUACGGGAGGGAGCAGUGGGGAAUCUUCCGCAAUGGACGAAAGUCUGACGGAGCAACGCCGCGUGAGUGAUGACGGCCUUCGGGUUGUAAAGCUCUGUUAAUCGGGACGAAAGGCCUUCUUGCGAAUAGUGAGAAGGAUUGACGGUACCGGAAUAGAAAGCCACGGCUAACUACGUG